AUUGAACGCUGGCGGCAGGCCUAACACAUGCAAGUCGAGCGGAUGAAGGGAGCUUGCUCCUGGAUUCAGCGGCGGACGGGUGAGUAAUGCCUAGGAAUCUGCCUGGUAGUGGGGGAUAACGUCCGGAAACGGGCGCUAAUACCGCAUACGUCCUGAGGGAGAAAGUGGGGGAUCUUCGGACCUCACGCUAUCAGAUGAGCCUAGGUCGGAUUAGCUAGUUGGUGGGGUAAAGGCCUACCAAGGCGACGAUCCGUAACUGGUCUGAGGGGAUGAUCAGUCACACUGGAACUGAGACACGGUCCAGACUCCUACGGGAGGCAGCAGUGGGGAAUAUUGGACAAUGGGCGAAAGCCUGAUCCAGCCAUGCCGCGUGUGUGAAGAAGGUCUUCGGAUUGUAAAGCACUUUAAGUUGGGAGGAAGGGCAGUAAGUUAAUACCUUGCGGUUUUGACGGUACCAACAGAAUAAGCACCGGCUAACUUCGUG
rnacentral:rRNA from 1 species